CCUGUAAUCCUAGCACUUUGGGAGACUGAGGUGGGUGGAUCGCUUGAGUCCAGGAGUUUGAGACCAGCCUGGGCAACGUGGUGAAAACCUGUCUCUACAAAAAAUACAAAAAUCAGCUGUGUAUGGUGGUGCAUGCCUGUAGGCCCAGCUACUAGAGAGACUGAGGUGGGAGAAUCACUUGAGCCUAGGAAGUCAAGUCUGCAGUGAGCUGUAAACAUGCCACUGCACUCUAGCCUGGGCAGCAGAGCAAGACCCUGUCUCAAAAAAAGGAAAGAGAAAAGGUCUCAAAACAAGGAAGUGUCACCUUGGCUUUAUACAUAACCUCAGAACCACCUAGAGUCAGAAACUCCUCUGUACUCAUCUUCCAUCCCAAACCACAAGGUCCUUUCUCAAUCAGUCACCUUUAGUAAUGAAUGCCAAGGUAUCUUCCUUUAGAGAUGAAUUUUAGCAUGAAUUCCUCUCCCUGCUUAAACAAGCAGAUACACUUGGCCACUCUGGUAGAACUUGGUAACAAUGCCAAUAAAAGGAGUAUUUGUGAUUCUUCAGUCAAGCCAGAAAGGAUGACACCAGAAAUUGCUUUGACUCAUUAUCACAAUUUGCAGAGAUAAGAGUGCAUUCAGGAAGGCUUGAGAAGUUAUACAUAGGGAGUGUCCAAGUACUCAGAGAUUAAAUGAAUGCCUCAGGAAACAGUAAGUCUCACAUCAUCAGUGGGAUAUUCAAGCUAGACUGCCCCUUGGCACAUAUCAUGGAGAGAACAUGUGGCAAGAAAUGAGGAUGAACUAGAUCAGAUAUCCAGUUUCUUCUCAUCUAAGGUCUGUGAAUUAAAAUAAAUAAUGCUAAUGAUCUUAGUGUUUGUAACAACUUAAGGUGGGUUUCUGGGCUCAAGGAUCAGAAAACCACAGACCUGACUAGGAUCCUG
rnacentral:lncRNA from 1 species